AUCCCAUGAUGUGGGCACUUUCGCAACAUCUCCUUGUAACGUUCCCAUGCUUCACAUAGAGUUUCUCCAGAUAGCUGAGAGAAUUGAGUGAUAGCAUUCCGCAUUGCAGCU
rfam:Daucus carota subsp. sativus cultivar DH1 chromosome 8, whole genome shotgun sequence.